AUAAAGUUCAUCCUGUUUCCUCAUAAAGAUUUUGCAUGGAAAAAUACAUGCAUGUAUAAAAAGCUGUUACACGGUGUAGUAGAGUUUUGCUAUGCUUUAAGCUCAGUUUUUAGGGCUUGGAUAUCAUCUGCAGUACUGUUUUUUUGCAUGCAUGUGUGUUUGUUGAAACAAAUCUCAUGAGUGUUCUGUCACGCUGCAGGACCUUUGCUUGGAAUUCACUUUUAGUUCUUCAUGAUAAAAUUAUUUGAGAGCCAGGUACUGUCGCUGAGUUUGAAAUAUAUAAUGAAAUAUGUUGAAAUACUUUUUUGUAUCUAACCAGAUUUUUUUUUUUUUUUUUUUUUUGCUGUAGGGCUUUAAUGCUUGUAUGCAGCUUACAGUUACUAUUGCUAUUACAGACACACUAAGACAAAGGCUUAAAAUGUUUUCCUUCUGUCUGGCUAUUGAUGGCAUCCAGUCCUGAUUCUUAUUGGGAACUCACUGUAGUUUGUAAGAUAGCUGGUAAAUUUAUGAUAAAAUGCUGUGGUUUUUUGUUUGUUUGUUUUUUUCCAGUUUUGUUUUGUAGCUUCUCCUCCUCAAAUGUGAGUGGAGCACUGUCAACAUCAGAGAAGUUUUUUGUCCUGGGCAGUUUCAGUAGGUGCCGAAAGAAGUCUCAGUAACUGCUGGGCUUUGGGCUGUGAGGGGUCAGCUGCAAGUCUUUAAGUAAUGAUUUUUAGUAGGCCAGUACUUUUUGUUCUCUGUUUAUGACUAAUACCUGUUUUCAGAUUUAGCCUGGAGAGCUGCAAUAGAGUUGUGCCACUUCUGUAACGUUUUUUGUUAUUCCUUCAUAGGAUUUAAUGUGUCUUUGUGGGCUUCACUGUAUAGUGAAGGCUUAAAGCAUGGGUUUUGUGGAGAGCAGGAGACCAGAAAGUCAAGGAAAAGCAGAGGCUUAGGGAGAAAGUUGGAUGCAAUUACUCAAAAGGUUGAGAUUUAUAAAUAUAUAAAUAUGAGUAUGGGUGUGGUAAACUAUUGUACUGUAUAAGUGGCUGUAACUAUGGUAACAUGGGAAAAUGAGAAGUGGAAUCACAUAGCUGAUGAUAUUGCUCUUUAACUUGGAAAUCAACAUCAGUGUUUUGCUGGCUGUUAAAUCCAGUUUCAUCAACAGCUGGUGGAAAAGGGUCAGGCUUUUGCUGGAGGUGGACAGCAAAGGGAAAAAAACAAGUUCUUUGAAGGAAAGUAUUGAAAGGUGCUUUGGGCUGGGGGAGAACUCACAUUGCUGUUGGUUGCUCAGAGAGGUGGAAAAUCUACCGAUUUUCCAGGAGGGCUUCACAAAUUGACUUUGGGCAAGUGUACAAGGCAGCCUCCCUUGCAGUGGAGAGCUGAGCCAGAGGGAACUGAGAGGGCCCUUUCAGCCUAAGUUAUUCUUGCUGCAGUCAUUCUGGCAUUUUGUCCUCUUACUAGAGACGUUGUCCAUAAAUACUAAAAGGCAUGAGUAGUCCAACCUGAAUAUCUGGUGUUCAGGAAGGCUGGCUUUUCAUUUGUACUAUUGUACUGUUUCAUUAUCCUGCAGGUACUUAUAUCUAAAACAUCCAUGCUGUGCUGAAAGUUGGACUUGCUGUGGAAGAUAAUGACUGCUAUUUCACUGGAUGUAAGCUGAUUUGAAGAAUUGUUUCUUUAUUAGUUGUUUGGGAACUAAUGCUAAUGAGAGUCUCAGUUGCUGUCAUUUUCUCUUAGGGGGUAAAACAUUUUGUACUGUGUGAUUUAUUUUGAGAAUGGUGUAAUGAAUAACAGUACCUAAAAUGUUUUAUUUUAAACAAAAAAGAGAAUUAUUUUUUUAACAAGUGUUCUCUAAUACAGGGAUGUUUGCCAGAGGGAAGACCUUUAGAAUCAUGCUGGGUACUCAUAACAAUAUGAAUAAUAGUGUGACAUAGAUGAAAACUGUAAAUAAGCAGAUUUUUUUUUUUUUUGUAGGUAAUAUUUGGCUAUUUUCAGGUUCUACUUUUUAUUUCUUUGCAAGUUAAAGGUAUAGUCAGUUGUUUUUGUCUAGUAAAUUUAGUGAUGUAUGUAGUCUGCCUUGAAAGUAACAAGGAUUGCUGAAUAUGCACAGAAAAAUUGGUCGUAGAGCUUACUGGGGUGGUAAGUGAACAUCUGGAAGACCCUGCCAAGGAUGAUUUGGCAAAUUAAUUAGUACUGUAGGCAUAGCACCAGACAUGUCCAGUGCAGCUUACUACUCAGGGUGAAUAUAUGAUUUCUGAAAGAACAAAUAAUGCUCUUUCUUUAUGUCAGUCACUUAAGUGUAUUUAAUAGUAUUGAAUGGUGAUGCAGAGUAGUACUCAUUUGCUGUAAAUUAAAUCUUUAGUAACUAUAGAAGAGUAUUAUUGUUGGUUUGUAUGUGAAUCUGACACAUUUUCCAGGUAAUGAUUAAACAGAAAUACUUCAUUAGAAUUUUCAGUGUGAUUUCUGAAGUCUAAAACAUAGAAUAAUAGUGCUUAAUACCUGCCAUUAGCACAAACUCAGACACCUAUAUGCAGAGUCAGGGAACAAUCAGGUAGAUGUUCUGACUCUAAACUGGGAAAUAAAAUGUGUUCUCUCUGGCUCUUCUGUGCCUGCCUGAGGAGUAAUCUGAGUACACCUUAUACAGGCAUAAAAUAAUAGGCUCUACCAAGUGCUGGAACUAUUACAGGGAGUGAUGAUUAUAGAGUAUCUACAUUUGUAUGUAGUAAGUCUGAAACACUGCAAUUUGCGUAGUGUUCUGAACAAGAAACCUUUGGCUGCUGGAUGCUGUGAAAAGUAGGAAAGGACAAACAUGGAGAUUUCUUGAUAUUGAGAACAAUCUGCUACUUAAUUUCAGACUAACUUUCCACUGAGGUCUGUUUCUGGGAAGAAGUGAUGCGAGUAAGGUUUCCUUGAAAGAAAAGUAAAAUAUAAUUACCUUUAUUCAUUUAAUGACCUUUAUGUGAAUUUAGUAGCUUUCAGCCUAUUCUGUGAGGAUUGUGUGAAUUUGAGGUCUGAAAUGAUUAAAUAUUUCUUUCAAGAUAGCACUGAAGAGUACACUUAGUGGUUUCAACCAAAUCUGUAAUUGAACAUUUGACCAAAUUGAGGCUCUCUACAAUAUUCAGUUCAGAAGUGAAAAGUAUAUCCGGGCCAUAUGCCCCUAAAGACUUGUUUUUCUAUUGAAUUCCCUCAUUCCUUGGUUGGGCGUACUGUUAUACAGGACAACCUAAGUAUGAAAACGACCAGUUUUCUACGAAAUCAUGGUCAGUAUUUAUUUUUUGGUCAUGCUGUUUGUCGCGACGCCUUUAUUUCCCAGACAUUUUUCUGUUUAUUUGCAAUGCUCAACAACCUUCAGCUUUACUUUGCCACGUGACAAUGUGUUUAGUCUUGGUUAAAGCAUCCUGUAAAGCAGACAGCACUUGAGUAUGCUUUUUUUUCUGCUUGACUCUCCACAACAUUUAAAUAUUUGCAACAUUUAUAUAUUUGUUACAGUUUUGCAAUUCUCUUUUUGGUCACUGGCUGCUUAUAUUUUCCCUUACAGGGUAUCUGGUGCGUAAAUCGUAUGUUCUCUUUCUCUUUACAGUAUUCUUAAUUUUGCUGUUAGUACAUUUCUGGCCCUGAAAUUGCUCAGCCUGUAAAUAUUUCCAUUUUCAGCAUAAGGUGAUUAUGUGAUGAUACUAGAGUGUGAGGUGGAAGUGAUUCCUCUACUCCAGAGGAAAAUGCAGCCUUGGGUAAGUUAUGUAGGUUAUUAUGCUCUUUUGUCUGUAAGUAGAGAAUUGUUUGCUAUUUGUUUCACUACUCCAAUCUGGUGAAAGAAGAAAGACUUGGGUGACCUUAGCAGGAAGGGGGUUAGCAUGACUCUCCAAAACUGAGUGGUUCUUGGUAUUAGAGACUAUAGCAUUUAAAUCAUUAACUUGUCACCUUCAACUUAGGUGAAUCAACCGUUCCUUCUAAUAGAGAAGCAGGAGGGGGGGGGGAAACAGUGAAAAGCUAUGGUAUUUGUCAAGUUUUAGUUUCAUAGGCAAAAUAUUUUGUAUUAAGUUCCAUCUUAGUGGUGUGUACAGUAUGAUGGAAGGUAAGCUAACCAUAGAGUAACUGUCCUUUAGCAAGAAGGUUAUUCUAGUCUUGUCACAAAUUAGGUCUGUGUCUCUUCUGCACGUUGCCUGGCUUGGAGAUUCCAUUCAAAUGGCAGAAUGGAUGUUUGGAAAACAUUAAAUGGUGGAUCUGGAGAGGAACUCAAUUUGUAUUUCAGGCAAGAACUCUCAGUGAGACACUAAAUACCUCUUUUCCCAUGCUACUGAAUCUAAACCAGGUAAACUAUUAAAGGCUCAUCUUUGUGCAUCUGUUUUAUUUUGUAAUCCUUUUUUGUUAUUUUUGCAGAUAAUUUGGUUAGUAAAGUUACCUCUUGGUUACUACAACAUCCCACGAUACUGAAUGUAACAUCAUUAUAGAUUCAACAAGCAAAAACAAAGGAACAACAAAAACUCAUCUCCACAGAAUGAAAUAUCUUCAGUAUCUUUUUUUAAACUCUGUAUUGGUGUGACUAAACUAAUUCAUAGUUCUAGUUUGUGUAUUACUUGACAUUUACUUGUCAUUUAUGCUGUUGCAUUAAGAAAACUGUUGAGUGUGAAAGAUGUGUGAGGCAAAACACUGGAAGAACACUCAGUAGAAAAGCUGAGUUAUUCCUGACACUUCUUUGAUGCGCGCUAUCUGAGGCCUGAGAAAAGCAAAUUAAGUCAGCUUAUACUUAAAGUAUAAGGGAUUUAGAUUUAUAUCUUCACUGAAGUUUAAUGGGGAAUAUGUUUAAAUCCCCUGACUUUUUUUCACCAUGGUCCCGUAAUCUGCUUUGAGAGAGACUGACACAAAAAUAACUUCAAAUACUAGACAAAUCAGAUGUUUUUCUAUUUGUUUUGUAAUGUCAAUAAAAUAAUAUUACUUGCAUUGAAUGCAGGUGCAAAUGAGACUUGAAAAUAUAGGACUUGUUGACAUACAGAAUAUUGAUUUGACUUCUCAAGGAAUUAAUUCCUUUUUGAAAAUUAGACUAAACUGAUUUACCUGUUUUCAUCAUUCAGUUACUAGGCAUCUUGGGGAUAGAUAUUAGAUCUUUUCAUGGUGCACUUCAGAGAUUGUAUAUUGCCAUGGCACAUUGUUAACUUCUAUGAUAUGAGCAAGAUUUGUGAGUCUUUAAUUGAAAAGCUACUUGAACUUCAUCCACAUAAUAAUAAUAAUGAAUGUUAUUCAUUAAUUUUUGCAUGCUUUACUGUUCAGUGAUCGUUAUUAUAUUCUUUAAGUGGACUUCUUUUUUCACAAAAUAUGAUUAAUACCAAGUAAACCUAAGGGUAAAAUUAUUAUAGAUGCUUUAUGGUGCCAAGAGACUUGACAGUAAGAACUGUAACUUGAGUUUGGAUGGUAAGAAAAUUGUUUCAGACACCUAAGUACUUCUGAGUGAAACUCUGUAGCACUGAUAGGAGAUGCUGAACCCUGAACAAGGUACUUUUGUAAACAUCAGUGCUAGGUGUGUACCUGUAGAGCUGCAGAUGUCUCAGUAUAAAACUGUUUUCCAACUUAGCAGCCAUAGCUGGAAAACAUUCUUUGUUUAUGUGUCAGAUUUCUAGGCCUAUUCUAGCACUUUUAUUAAUCUUUUAAGUGGAAAAACUUAGGAGAGUGGCUGAGUUCCUAAGGGUGGCUAAUCAAUAAUCCAGUUAAGUUGUGAUGCUUUGCUUCAGUCUCAUGAUAGAGAACAUAAAUGAGUAAACAAAGAGUCAUGACUGGCUCCAAGGUAAUUGUAAUGUAAUAAAAAGAGACACGGAAGAUCGUUGAAGCUAUGCUUUAUGCUUGGUUUACAUACUAAUUUUCAGAAGUAACCUUGGGAAGCAGAUCCUUUUUUUUUAUCAGGGAAGACUUUUUGAUAGAGUUCAUCUUAUAUAUCUUCUAAUGUCUUCUGGUAAAAAGAAAUAAAUAAAAUAGUAUCAAUAUAAAGAAAUGUGUAUGUGAAUAUAUAAUAAUUAUCUAUAAUAUAUACACCUUGAAAGAGUAAAAACAAUGUUUUCCCCAAGCAAGUGACUAGAUAGAGGGAUCAAUGCUUCUCUUGCUUGAGUAACUUCCCUAGGUGGCUCAUCUGUCGAUGUGAUGUACCUUCACAGUGGGGCCUUGCUCUCAUAUGGAAGCUGACUGCUUGCCUUUUCAUUAAGUUUUUUUUUUUUUGUAUUUGGGUAUGGUGUUACAAGCAGUUAAUUGGGGAAAAAAUGUACUGAAAAGUUGGCUGUGGCCUAUCCAUACAUGCCUGUUUUUUUUUUUUUUUCUGUGGAUAAGACUUCUCUCUUUCUGGUUUUAUGAUUCAGCUGAAGAGCAUAUCAACCCAUAAGAGAAGAUCAAGGAGAUUUCAAUCAUAGUGGAGCCUACCAUACUGUCUUGGAAGUUAUUAACAUCUUGAAUUUCUUAACAUCCACGUGUCUUUCAAGCUUCAAUUUCAUUGUGGAGUAUGUGUGCAUGCGUAAUUAUGUAUUUUGUGUUUAUCAGCCCCAUCAAACUGUCAACAAUUUAAAAAUAAAAAUCUGGAACAUCAACUUAACUGAUUUACUUGGUUUUCUUAUCAUAGCUUGCUUCCUGUGCUCAAGUCUUGGCAUGUAUUAUUGCAUUUCAAAUUCCAUUGAGCUUGUGAUUGUAAGGGGCUAAGUUUUUAAACUCAAGAAGCAAUUUGAAAUCUUCCAGAUGCAAUUACAAUACCUCUCAGUGAUCUAGUAGUCUUGAUGAUUAAAAAUAUCAUUUGACAAGUAUUUUCAUAUUUUUGCUUACAAAAUCAUGCAGAAGCCCAAAGAGAUAGUAACACAAGUACCCUUUAAAAAUUCCGUAUGGAAAGAAAACUAUUUCACUUAAAAUGAAAUUUUGCCUCCCUUAACGAUAUGUUUUGCUCUGCAUGCAGCAGAAACAGUCAAUUUUUUUCUUUAAAAUAAGUUCUUUCCCUCACACCUCUGGUAUGGAAACAACUUGCUGAAACAAUAGAAUAUGAGGUAUAAGUAUAAAAGAUAGAGAGCUCUCUAUUUGCAUCCUAUCCAAAAGAAUUAACACAAUUUGUAUAUGGCUCUUGUGAACAAGAACUAAAGAAGUUGAAUGUCUCAAAUAGAGGUGUCAGAUAUUUGUUCUACUUGGAAUACAUCAAAAGGGGAAGAAAUCCAUGGAACAGAUCUGUAGUAAUCUUACAUGAAAUUGCAAUUCUAUACACAGAAAAAAAUUGUAAAUUCAUAACAAUUUGAAGGAAGAUUCAGUAUGCAUUCAUAUUAGUAUUCAGUACUCAUUAGUAUUCAUCUACAUUAAAAUUUAAUAGCCUUUGUAUUAAGCUCAAAGUUUUCUAUGUUUCAGAUUCAUCUGUCUUUCAAGUCUUUUGUAAAUAGGAAAUUAUGAUUCUCUGGCUCUCUAAAUUGAUUUCUCAUUUUUUUCCAAUUAAAUACUUCUGGGUAUGUAGUUUAGGAUACAAGAACUUGCUGUGCUUCAGCAACUCGAGUCUCUAGUGGUUCUGACUUUAAUAGAGAAGCUCUUUAAAAAGUGACAUAGUCAAUGUAAAAGCUAUGGUUGAAUUCACCGAAAAAUUAUUUUCCUUCUGUCCUUUACUCAUGUUGUUUGCUUUGGUAAAAACAUAACAAUGGGUGCUCUGCCAGGAACACAUGGAUCUUGGCAAAGCUCCAAUAUGUCUGUUUUUAUCUCUUGGAAAUGAAAAAUAACUGGCAACAAGAAUGUAAAAAGAUGGAUAACGUGAUGUGGUUCUCACAGGAGCUACUUGCUGAAAGGAGUUCAGAUGUCUCCUCAUAGAUGGCCACUAGUGACAGUUAUGGACAGCUUUACUUGUUUAGUCCUUUAUGAAAACUGACAGUGGGCAGGUGAUUUAACUGGUGUAGUUUUUCUUUGUAUUUCUAGUAUGAGUUCUCACAGCAAAGGUUUCAUUUCUUUCCUUUGUUUUUCCUUUUUUAAGUUCUUACUAACAGAAUCUGUGGAAUGCAUUUGGACUUUUUGUCUGCCUAAAUCCAAGGAUAAGAAGUCCGUAUGAUAAAAAAUAUGUGAUGAUUGCAAAGUUAUAUGGGAACAAGCCGGUAAAUGCUCACUUGAUAGAGACCUCUUAUUUCAUUUUAACCUAAUUUCAAACUAAAAGCUCUGACUCUCUAUGAGUUAUUGACUGUUUUCAUGUAGGUAUUUACAGAAAUAACAUUUUACUUCUGUGCUUUGGUUGUCUGACAGACCACUGUCUUCUCUAGAGAAACAAGUUGUAAUGGGUUCCUCAGUGACCUUAAAUCUGCAUGGUUCUUGAACUGCUAAUGGGAGCAGAAAAUGGUUUCCUACUAAUAAUUUCCUAAAGCUAAAAAGCUUUAUUUCUUUUUAAGCACC
rnacentral:lncRNA from 1 species